rnacentral:rRNA from 1 species
AGGAUUAACCUGCCGGCCGGCCAUAACCACAGGCAAGUCGGACCGAGGGAACUAAAGGUCUCCCUUGGAGUGAACUUAAGUGGAUUAUGGCGGACGGGUGAGUAACGCGUUGAGUAACCUGCCUUAGAGAAGGGGAUAACCUUUGGAAACGAAGGAAUAAUACCCCUUAGACAUGGAUACNCCUCGCAUGAGAAUAUCAUCAAAGAUUUAUCGCUCUAAGAUGGACUUGCGUCUGAUUAUUUAAUUUGUGGGGGUAACGGCCCACCAAGACAGCGAUCAGUAACCGGCUUGAGAGAGUGUACGGCCACAUUGGGACUGAGACACGGCCCAGACUCCUACGGGAGGCACAUGGGGAAUUUUGCACAAUGGGGGAAACCCUGAUGCAGCGACGCUGCGUGAUUUAGAAGGCCUUCGGGUUGUAAAAAUCUUUUCUAUGGGAAGAACAUGACAGUACCAUAGGAAUAAGGACCGGCUAAUUACGUGCCAGCACCGCGGUAAUACGUAAGGUCCGAGCGUUGUCCGGAAUCAUUGGGCGUAAAGGGUACGUAGGCGGGUAAGCAAGUUAGAAGUGAAAUCCUAUAGCUCAACUAUAGUAAGCUUUUAAAACUGCUCAUCUUGAGGUAUGGAAGGGAAAGUGGAAUUCCUGGUGUACGGUGAAAUGCGCAGAUAUUAGGAGGAAUACCGGUGGCGAAGGCGACUUUCUGGCCAUAACCUGACGCUGAGGUACGAAAGCGUGGGUAGCAAACAGGAUUAGAUACCCUGGUAGUCCACGCCGUAAACGAUGAGUGUUAGGUGUCUGGAGUAAAUCUGGGUGCCGCAGCUAACGCAUUAAACACUCCGCCUGGGGAGUACGCGCGUCAAGCGUG